CACCUUACAGUUCUUUGAGAUCAAGAGGUGCAGAAGCAAGUGGAGAAGUGCCCAGAGAAGGAGUGGCCACUUGCUCUUCUUCCCAGCUGUAACUGCAAAAAACGGGAAGUCUCCAUGAUGACCCUUCCUUCACAGCGGUGAAGGGCCCAUUGGUGCUUCUCAUGACUGGUGGGUUACAGCCACCUCUUCAGCAGAUGGCAGGAGGUACACAGGACAAGUAAUGCAUAAAACUGGGGGUUGUCAUUGGUUUUGGUUUUGCAUACAAGUACAACUGUCUCUUUGCUGCAGAAUGCUGUAGCCCUUUCUUGUGACAGAAGUGCCUGGAGGCGAGCCCAGAGAAGGAAAUCCUGCACUGAAAGAGGAGGAAGGGAGAAAAGAAGAAGGAAGAUUAAUGGUUUUCCUUCAACCAGGAGAACCAUAUGGACUAACCUAGGAAGCCAUCUUAGUUGGGAAAUGUUGCCUAUAGCCACUUUUUCCUGGCAAAGAGCUUAACACUGCCUAGGUUGUGACUUUCAUCAAAAGACUUUCAAAAGGUUGUGACUUUCAUCCUUUCCAAUUCUUCCAUGAUUUUUAUUUCUGUGCUAUGAUUUCUCAGCUCAUAACAUAAUUUUAGUUUUAAUGCCUUUAUUUUACAGUCCACUUAGAAGGGAGUGAAGUUCCUUUUUUCUGUUCCUCUACAUUGCAAAAGCCCUAUGUUUUUCUCUCUUCCUUUUCAUUUUUUUUCCCUCUUCUUCCUUAUCAUAUAUUCUUUUGGUUGCCCCAGGAGCACCAAUUUUGUUAAUUGAUCUGUGUGAUACAUUGCUCAAUCUAUGCCCUUCCUUGCUUCUCAAGUAGAAAUAAAAAUAGGCUAAUUGUGGGGGCAAAAGAGUUGAAAACAUAGAAGACUAAUAUUUAUUUCCUGGAAUAGCAAGAGUUACAAUUACAAUUCAGGCUUAAUUUUGCCUGGAAAAAUGAUUCUGCAAUGACUCCAAACAGGCUGUAAAAUAUUUUCAGUUGAUGUGGAAAUAUACUAGUGUGGGCAGAGUUUGGAGAAAUGUGCCCAGACCUUGCAGAAACAUAUGAGAUGUCGUUUUCCUGGUUCGUAAAGGAUGCAUUUUAGGUGAUGGUCUCUGUGCUUCAAUAACUGUGGGAGGAAACCUGACAUUAGAAAGUGCAUCCAUCUUCCUGGACAAAAGAAAAUAUCAACUUCCCAGAAACUUUUGUCAUGGAGUCAAUUCUUACACAAUG